GAUGAACGCUAGCUACAGGCUUAACACAUGCAAGUCGAGGGGCAGCAUGAACUUAGCUUGCUAAGUUUGAUGGCGACCGGCGCACGGGUGAGUAACACGUAUCCAACCUGCCGAUGACUCGGGGAUAGCCUUUCGAAAGAAAGAUUAAUACCCGAUGGCAUAGUUCUUCCGCAUGGUAGAACUAUUAAAGAAUUUCGGUCAUCGAUGGGGAUGCGUUCCAUUAGGUUGUUGGCGGGGUAACGGCCCACCAAGCCUUCGAUGGAUAGGGGUUCUGAGAGGAAGGUAGCUGACAUUGGAACUGGGACACGGACCAAAGUCCUACGGCACGCAGCAAUGAGGAAUAGUGGGCAAUGGACGAGAGUCUGACCCAGCGAAGUAGCGUGAAGGAUGACUGUCCUAUGGGUUGUAAACUUCUUUUAGACGGGAAUAAAGUGAGCAACGGGUGCCUUAUUGUAUGUACCGGAUGAAGAAGGAUCGGCUAACUUCGUG
rnacentral:rRNA from 1 species